GCGCCCGUAGCUCAGUGGAUAGAGCAGCAGACUACGGAUCUGAAGGUCGGGGGUUCGAAUCCCUCUGGGCGCGCCA
rnacentral:tRNA from 2 species